rnacentral:ncRNA from 1 species
UAGGCCUGUAUAACUUUAUUAAAAUAAUCGCAUUAUGGCGCGCCUAUGCGUUGUUUUGUACUGCCUAACCAGUAAAUAGUGCCUGUUGAUAACUCUGUGAUUUUCUUAACCCGUAGUUUUCACUUACCUGAUAACUAAUUUCGCAUAAUGUAUAUUAUGUUAAAUUAAAUAUUAAAGUGACUAUGGUUACUGGUAAUAUCUUUUCUACUGUUUAUUUCUUAGGAUUAAAAUUUUU